CACACCUGUGUGCAAUUUGUUGUCAGUCUUCUCCUCUGCUUUGGGGUCUUACUUCCAGCCUUCAGCUGAUUGUGCCCGGGAACAUUUUUAGCUCCAAAGCCCCAUACACCCGUGGGAGAUGCACCGUGCGUCUACACCAGACAAUAAAGUGUUAUGAGUGGAUUAACCGCCUACGUCUACACACCAGAAAGGCAAGAAGGAAAAAAAUGUCCGCAUGGAGCUGGAGGGGGCGUGGCUUCCAGCUCCGGCUGAAAAUCGGGAGAUUUUCGGGAGAAUAUUUGUCCCGGGAGGUUUUCGGGAGAGGCGCUGAAUUUCGGGAGUCUCCCGGGAAAUUCGGGAGGGUUGGCAAAUGUCCAUCACCACAGACUGUGGAGGCGUUGAUGUGAAACUGACUGUUUGGACAUCCGAGAGUGUGAAAAUCUUGACAGGAUGUUGAAACAAAAUGUAAAUCGCAGAAGUCCAUUAAUUCUCUGUUUACUGACUGAAUUAAGAUUAGCCACCAAUCACAAUGACAUGACAGGCACGUCUUGUGUUUUAAAUGGAUGCAAACUUACACCCCGCACCCUCAUUCAUCAAGUCUCAUGCCCUUCAUUUCAACUAUUAAACCCAAUCCAAUUUGCCCACUGAAGUCUAAAUUGAAUCCUUAAUUGCCUUACACUAAAAAAAAAAAAAAAAGAAGAAAUCUAGCUAGCUAAUUUAUGCAGAGAUGUAGGUGCUUUUUAUGGGUGUAUUGCCCAACCGGGUCUAAUAAAGUAUAGCAGGCCAUAAAAGACUGUGUGGCGGUGAAGUCCAUCAAUGUUUCAUUUGGAAGCGAAUGGAAUCGGAUCACCGGAAAUAUAGCUGGAGUUUGUUUAAACAUUUGUAAAAUGGAUUUUUGUCAUCAGACAGAAUUCAUGCUGAACUUUCUGUCGGUGACUCACAUUCUGCACUUUAGUUUCUUGUUGUUGCUAACAGAUAGGAGUGUCCCGAUACAACUGUUUCACUCCUAAUAUGAUGCCGAUGUUGGAUCCUUGAGCAUUGGCCUAUAUUAAUAGAAACAUAGCAGCUAAAAUUAUCGGCCUACCCACACCCAACAUUUCAGACUUAAACCACAGGUCCAUCACCCGACUGGCAAAAACAAUAGUCCAGGAUAUCACUCACCCACUACACCAAUACAUCAUCCCACUACCAUCAGGGCGCAGGUACAGAACUAUCAAAUUCCGGAGGGCCC